rnacentral:ncRNA from 2 species
ACAGAUGAUGAACUUAUUGACGG